AGUGAACGCUGGCGGUAGGCCUAACACAUGCAAGUCGAACGGCAGCACAGGAGAGCUUGCUCUCUGGGUGGCGAGUGGCGGACGGGUGAGGAAUACAUCGGAAUCUACUUUGUCGUGGGGGAUAACGUAGGGAAACUUACGCUAAUACCGCAUACGACCUACGGGUGAAAGCAGGGGAUCUUCGGACCUUGCGCGAUUGAAUGAGCCGAUGUCGGAUUAGCUAGUUGGCGGGGUAAAGGCCCACCAAGGCGACGAUCCGUAGCUGGUCUGAGAGGAUGAUCAGCCACACUGGAACUGAGACACGGUCCAGACUCCUACGGGAGGCAGCAGUGGGGAAUAUUGGACAAUGGGCGCAAGCCUGAUCCAGCCAUACCGCGUGGGUGAAGAAGGCCUUCGGGUUGUAAAGCCCUUUUGUUGGGAAAGAAAUCCAGCCGGCUAAUACCUGGUUGGGAUGACGGUACCCAAAGAAUAAGCACCGGCUAACUUCGUGCCAGCAGCCGCGGUAAUACGAAGGGUGCAAGCGUUACUCGGAAUUACUGGGCGUAAAGCGUGCGUAGGUGGUUAUUUAAGUCCGUUGUGAAAGCCCUGGGCUCAACCUGGGAACUGCAGUGGAUACUGGAUGACUAGAAUGUGGUAGAGGGUAGCGGAAUUCCUGGUGUAGCAGUGAAAUGCGUAGAGAUCAGGAGGAACAUCCAUGGCGAAGGCAGCUACCUGGACCAGCAUUGACACUGAGGCACGAAAGCGUGGGGAGCAAACAGG
rnacentral:rRNA from 1 species